UUGGGUCUAUCAGGGCAGCACAAGUUUGAGGAGGGGACAACUUCAGUCUGGGGUCCAUCCUUCGAUAUAAGGAUUCUUUGCAGUCAGGUCCCAGGCAAGGGCCGGAGCCCCUAGGCAAAAACUUUGGCCAUUUUCCCUGGGAAAGAAAACUCACCAGUCCAAGUUCCUGAUAUAAGUUGGUAGAGCUCCCUUGGGUCUAUCAGGGUAUCACAUGUUUGAGGUGCGGAAAAUUUC
rnacentral:lncRNA from 1 species